GUAAGAACCUACGCAGAGAGGAACCCUGCUGGAGUAGCUGAGAUGCCCCUAAAGUUUGGCAAACGGAAAACGUCCUGUGGGAAAAGCAAUGAUGCAACUACUGGAGUUCUAUAAAUGUGUAGUAACAUGAACCUGGCAUCACAAGAAUCUGAAGUGCCAAGCAUGGAUUUACAUAUAUGAAAGGAGACUUGUAUUAAAAGGGAAGGAACAGCUUCAUUUGUUAAAAUUUGUUUGGGAAAUAUUGAUGAAAACGAGCAGCUAUAAGACUUACCUUCUUAUAUCUGUCUUUCGUG